GCUACAGGCUUAACACAUGCAAGUCGAGGGGCAUCAGGAAGAAAGCUUGCUUUCUUUGCUGGUGACCGGCGCACGGGUGAGUAACACGUAUCCAACCUGCCCUUUACUCGGGGAUAGCCUUUCGAAAGAAAAAUUAAUACCCGAUAGCAUAAUGAUUCCGCAUGGUUUCAUUAUUAAAGGAUUCCGGUAAAGGAUGGGGAUGCGUUCCAUUAGGUUGUUGGUGAGGUAACGGCCCACCAAGCCUUCGAUGGAUAGGGGUUCUGAGAGGAAGGUCCCCCACAUUGGAACUGAGACACGGUCCAAACUCCUACGGGAGGCAGCAGUGAGGAAUAUUGGUCAAUGGGCGCUAGCCUGAACCAGCCAAGUAGCGUGAAGGAUGAAGGCUCUAUGGGUCGUAAACUUCUUUUAUAUAAGAAUAAAGUGCAGUAUGUAUACUGUUUUGUAUGUAUUAUAUGAAUAAGGAUCGGCUAACUCCGUGCCAGCAGCCGCGGUAAUACGGAGGAUCCGAGCGUUAUCCGGGUUUAUUGGGUUUAAAGGGAGCGUAGGUGGACUGGUAAGUCAGUUGUGAAAGUUUGCGGCUCAACCGUAAAAUUGCAGUUGAUACUGUCAGUCUUGAGUACAGUAGAGGUGGGCGGAAUUCGUGGUGUAGCGGUGAAAUGCUUAGAUAUCACGAAGAACUCCGAUUGCGAAGGCAGCUCACUGGACUGCAACUGACACUGAUGCUCGAAAGUGUGGGUAUCAAACAGGAUUAGAUACCCUGGUAGUCCACACAGUAAACGAUGAAUACUCGCUGUUUGCGAUAUACAGUAAGCGGCCAAGCGAAAGCAUUAAGUAUUCCACCUGGGGAGUACGCCGGCAACGGUGAAACUCAAAGGAAUUGACGGGGGCCCGCACAAGCGGAGGAACAUGUGGUUUAAUUCGAUGAUACGCGAGGAACCUUACCCGGGCUUAAAUUGCAGUGGAAUGAUGUGGAAACAUGUCAGUGAGCAAUCACCGCUGUGAAGGUGCUGCAUGGUUGUCGUCAGCUCGUGCCGUGAGGUGUCGGCUUAAGUGCCAUAACGAGCGCAACCCUUAUCUUUAGUUACUAACAGGUUAUGCUGAGGACUCUGGAGAGACUGCCGUCGUAAGAUGUGAGGAAGGUGGGGAUGACGUCAAAUCAGCACGGCCCUUACGUCCGGGGCUACACACGUGUUACAAUGGGGGGUACAGAAGGCAGCUAGCGGGUGACCGUAUGCUAAUCCCAAAAGCCUCUCUCAGUUCGGAUCGAAGUCUGCAACCCGACUUCGUGAAGCUGGAUUCGCUAGUAAUCGCGCAUCAGCCACGGCGCGGUGAAUACGUUCCCGGGCCUUGUACACACCGCCCGUCAAGCCAUGGGAGCCGGGGGUACCUGAAGUACGUAACCGCAAGGAUCGUCCUAGGGUAAAACUGGUGACUGGGGCUAAGUA
rnacentral:rRNA from 1 species